rnacentral:rRNA from 1 species
AUUGAACGCUGGCGGAAUGCUUUACACAUGCAAGUCGAACGGCAGCACGGACUUCGGUCUGGUGGCGAGUGGCGAACGGGUGAGUAAUGUAUCGGAACGUGCCCAGUCGUGGGGGAUAACGUAGUGAAAAUUACGCUAAUACCGCAUACGAUCUAUGGAUGAAAGCGGGGGAUCGCAAGACCUCGCGCGAUUGGAGCGGCCGAUAUCAGAUUAGGUAGUUGGUGGGGUAAAGGCCCACCAAGCCAACGAUCUGUAGCUGGUCUGAGAGGACGACCAGCCCCACUGGAACUGAGACACGGUCCAGACUCCUACGGGAGGCAGCAGUGGGGAAUUUUGGACAAUGGGCGAAAGCCUGAUCCAGCCAUUCCGCGUGCAGGACGAAGGCCCUCGGGUUGUAAACUGCUUUUGUACAGAACGAAAAGGUUUCUACUAAUACUAGGAGCUCAUGACGGUACUGUAAGAAUAAGCACCGGCUAACUACGUGCCAGCAGCCGCGGUAA